GCGUGCAUAUACAUGCAAGUCGAGCGGACAGAUGGGAGCUUGCUCCCUGAUGUUAGCGGCGGACGGGUGAGUAACACGUGGGUAACCUGCCUGUAAGACUGGGAUAACUCCGGGAAACCGGGGCUAAUACCGGAUGCUUGUUUGAACCGCAUGGUUCAAACAUAAAAGGUGGCUUCGGCUACCACUUACAGAUGGACCCGCGGCGCAUUAGCUAGUUGGUGAGGUAACGGCUCACCAAGGCAACGAUGCGUAGCCGACCUGAGAGGGUGAUCGGCCACACUGGGACUGAGACACGGCCCAGACUCCUACGGGAGGCAGCAGUAGGGAAUCUUCCGCAAUGGACGAAAGUCUGACGGAGCAACGCCGCGUGAGUGAUGAAGGUUUUCGGAUCGUAAAGCUCUGUUGUUAGGGAAGAACAAGUACCGUUCGAAUAGGGCGGUACCUUGACGGUACCUAACCAGAAAGCCACGGCUAACUACGUGCCAGCAGCCGCGGUAAUACGUAGGUGGCAAGCGUUGUCCGGAAUUAUUGGGCGUAAAGGGCUCGCAGGCGGUUUCUUAAGUCUGAUGUGAAAGCCCCCGGCUCAACCGGGGAGGGUCAUUGGAAACUGGGGAACUUGAGUGCAGAAGAGGAGAGUGGAAUUCCACGUGUAGCGGUGAAAUGCGUAGAGAUGUGGAGGAACACCAGUGGCGAAGGCGACUCUCUGGUCUGUAACUGACGCUGAGGAGCGAAAGCGUGGGGAGCGAACAGGAUUAGAUACCCUGGUAGUCCACGCCGUAAACGAUGAGUGCUAAGUGUUAGGGGUUUCCGCCCCUUAGUGCUGCAGCUAACGCAUUAAGCACUCCGCCUGGGGAGUACGGUCGCAAGACUGAAACUCAAGGAAUUGACGGGGGCCCGCAC
rnacentral:rRNA from 1 species